rnacentral:piRNA from 1 species
UGUUGAAUCUUUAUUUAUUAA